CAAAUCCUCACCUUUAUUCAGCACUUAGCAGGGUCCCGGCACGGAGUUAAGCACUUUACGCGGCUUGUCCCAUUUGAUUGCCACCACAGGGCUUGGAUCUGAAUGGGGAGGGAGUACGCUCGGGGUUUACCUGUGUGAGCCUGGGGUCAGCCGCUCAGCUUUAAAUCCUGGCGCGGCCUCUGACUCGUCGAGUCUACUGUGCGGAGGGUGUGAGUCGGGAUGAAUCGUCCGUAACCCAUGGAGUCGCUUUGAGGCUCACGCGAGAUCGCGGGGGCGGUCGUUCCAGCAUUUUAGCUACUGCUGUCCCCAUCCUCCAGAUCAGGAAACCCAGGCUGAAGGCAACGCUGUGCGCACGGGGCCUGCAGAGGUGGCUGCAGCCCAGGAAACUGCCGCAAACCGCCUUGUCGUCUCUCUCAAGAUAUCACAGGCGCUGGGUAAGAUGUUCAGCCACCCUGCUGGAGAGACCGCGUGAGGAGGUGGCAUGGAAAGGGACAGGCCUGAGACUACGUGCUGAGAGCAGUAGCCCAGCUGAGUCCAGCUUCUGGCUAGCCUUCCCAAGGGGCCAGAUGUGCGAAUGAAGCAUCUUCAAUGUUGCGACCCCAUCCCCAGCUGUGUGAGGGUCCUGCGAGACGUCCACCUGAGCCCCAGUCAACCUAUGGAAUCAGGAAAAACAACAAAAAGGUUAUACCAAGCCGGGCCCCGACCAAGAGCUUAGAAGGGGAGCGAGGCCUCUUCCUCCAGCCCGUGCUUUCCUCACGUGCCCAAGACGUCUGCGGAUUUCUCUUCAGCCGGCUCAUUGUCUCCCACACCGAACAGAAUUCUGCACCUAAAGCUUUUGAGGUCUAAUAUGUUUCAGAAUUCAGAAUUGUCUGGAUUUUAGAAGGUCCCAUCACAUGAGUUUUCCACAAACUUAGAAGAAAAUGUUUCACAGCUUUUUUGACUUUAGAAUUGCUGAUGUAGGAUUAUGGACUUGUAAUAACAAUUUGGUUCAUAAAAUAAUUUGCAGGGGAAACAACUCUUCCAUUUUAUGUGUCCUUCCAAAUGAAUGGAGUCCUGCUAGUUCCACUUCUGGCCUCUUUCCCUAGGGCCCCACACUCAGCCUCGGCGUGCGUGUGUGGUGCGCGUGGAUGGGGGCGUGUGCGGGAGCAAGCCUGAUGGGUAACUGGGAAAAAUAACUCGGGCUGCUCCACUCAGCUCCGCCCAUUGUGCUCUUGGGAGGGGGCAUGUGUUCUGCUUUGCUUGGGACCUCCACCUAAUGAAGUCACCACCCCUAUUUCAGCCUCAGAAUUUAUGAUGAUUAUUUUUAUUGAUGAUGAUAUUUUGGCGUCCACCUGCCACCCUUUGUUUUGUUUCUUGAUGGGUUAAAAACUCAGAGAAGAGGCCCGACUCCUUUGAGAUUCCAGUGUUUAGUCCCUGGCUGGGAACAUCAAGAAAUUAAAACAGGGGAAUUUCAGUUGAGAAAAAUUAUAUUUAAUGUACGUCUUACAAUCCUCCUCCGUGGGAGGAUGGGCGAUGCCAUGACCUGUCACUUGGGGUCUGGCCUCGAUGUGCGGUGAGGGUCUUCGGCUUUGGUGGGUCGUAGAGAUUGUAUUAGGCCAGGCCCAUUUUCACCGCUGUGCAUGUAGCCUUGGCAGCCGGGACAAGAGGUUGUAAGGAAACUACAGGCAUUUUAACCUCACUCUGAGUGGUCCAGGUGGGUUGGCCAGGUACAUGGAUCUCCAGUCCAGGCUUUACACUGAACCAGCCUUGUACUUUGGACACGCUCCUGUGUAGCUCAACACGUUUUACUCUCUUUGUUUAUGUAUUUUCCUUUUUCCGUGACACUUGGCCCUUGAGAGCUGAGAUCAUUGUACCCUAGUAUUUUGCAUACAUAUAGUGUACAUUUAAUAAAUGUCUGUUGAAUAAAUGAAGAAACACUGCGUGUAGCGUCCCAAAGAACAGGCUUUCUACACCUUGUACUUCAGCCUUCACAAGCUGAGACCCUGCAGGGCACAGGAGUCCAGAGCACCAAGAUCAGGUGUGGUGAUCACUCUAAUUUUAUGACCUGCUGCCCUGGUCCUAGGAUCGUGGAGAUUAAAAAUAAUAUUAAUGAGUGGCCGGCCAUCUGACCUAGUGGUUAAGUUCAGCACAUUCUGCUUCAGCGGCCCAGGU